ACCUAAGUGUGAGACACCGGGAUUCGAACACGACAUCUAUCACAUCCGAUUCCAGCAUUUGAUCACUUGGUCGAUAGUUGGAGUUAAAUUUUUGAGGUGCUGCUGUGCAACUGCUUGGAGAAUCCUCUUCCCAUGAGAAGGGAUUUGUAGAGGCGGAAGGUGCUGCAUCUUUUAUUUCCAAGCUUGGAUGACUUUGGUAUGAGUCCGUAGCAGCUUCUGCGAAGAUGCAUUUUUAAUGGAAACGGGACACUCUAGGAAGAUUUGGUUCUAGCAGCACAAGAAGGUGUCUUUGUCAAUGUUGACAGCGAAUUUGACUUGGAGAACAUAGUUGCAGCUGCAAGAAUAGCUGGCAAGAAGGUUAAUGUCCUACUUCGUAUUAUCCAGACGUGGAUCCUCAGGUCCAUCCAUAUGUUGCCACGGGAAACAAGAACUCUAAGUUUGGAAUUAGGAAUGAGAAGCUGCAGUGGUUUCUUGAUGCUGUAAAAUCACAUCCAAACGAGCUGAAGCUUGUGGGUGCCCACUGCCAUCUUGGUUCCACAAUUACCAAG